CUGGCGGCGUGCCUAAUACAUGCAAGUCGAGCGCAGGAAGCAGACAGAAGCCUCGGGUGGACGUCUGUGGAAUGAGCGGCGGAUGGGUGAGUAACACGUGGGCAACCUGCCUUAUGGUUCGGGAUAAACACCGGGGAAACUGGUGCUAAUACCGAAUAAGAUUCUUCUUCGCCUGAAGAAGAAAUGAAAGGCGGCUCUUCGAGCUGUCGCCAAAAGAUGGGCCCGCGUCGCAUUAGCUAGUUGGUGGGAUAAAAGCUCACCAAGGCAACGAUGCGUAGCCGACCUGAGAGGGUGAUCGGCCACACUGGGACUGAGACACGGCCCAGACUCCUACGGGAGGCAGCAGUAGGGAAUCUUCCGCAAUGGACGAAAGUCUGACGGAGCGACGCCGCCGUGAGUGAUGAAGGUCUUCGGAUCGUAAAACUCUGUUGUGAGGGAAGAACAAGGGUGAACCGAAUACGUUCACCCCUUGACGGUACCUCACCAGAAAGCCCCGGCUAACUACGUGCCAGCCGCUGC
rnacentral:rRNA from 1 species